UACGUAGGGGGCAAGCGUUGUCCGGAAUCAUUGGGCGUAAAGCGAGCGUAGGCGGCCCGAUAAGUCUGCUGUAAAAGUCAACGGCUCAACCGUUGAAAGCCGGUGGAUACUGUCGGGCUAGAGUUCGGAAGAGGCAAGUGGAAUUCCUGGUGUAGCGGUGGAAUGCGCAGAUAUCAGGAGGAACACCGGUGGCGAAGGCGGCAUCCUGGACCAAUAUUGACGCUGAGGAGCGAAAGCCAGGGGAGCAAACGGG
rnacentral:rRNA from 1 species